GUCUUUGUGGCUCAGUUGGUUAGAGCGUUGGUCUCAUAUAAAAUAUUUAUGAUCAACUUGUUUAACAAGUUGGCUAUCCAAAGGUCGAGAGUUCGAGUCUCUCCAAGGACA